AGCGAACGCUGGCGGCAGGCCUAACACAUGCAAGUCGAACGAACCUUUCGGGGUUAGUGGCGGACGGGUGAGUAACACGUGGGAACGUGCCUUUAGGUUCGGAAUAACUCAGGGAAACUUGUGCUAAUACCGAAUGUGCCCUUCGGGGGAAAGAUUAAUCGCCUUUAGAGCGGCCCGCGUCUGAUUAGCUAGUUGGUUGAGGUAAUGGCUCACCAAGGCGACGAUCAGUAGCUGGUCUGAGAGGAUGGUCAGCCACAUUGGGACUGAGACACGGCCCAAACUCCUACGGGAGGCAGCAGUGGGGAAUCUUGCGCAAUGGGCGAAAGCCUGACGCAGCCAUGCCGCGUGAAUGAUGAAGGUCUUAGGAUUGUAAAAUUCUUUCACCGGGGACGAUAAUGACGGUACCCGGAGAAGAAGCCCCGGCUAACUUCGUG
rnacentral:rRNA from 1 species